rnacentral:lncRNA from 1 species
GUGAAAGAGAAAGUUACUGCAUGGUUAAGUGGUUACACUCUCAGAUACAGGUAGAGGCAGCUUAGGAAUGUAAAUAUUUAGCCAAUGUUGAAAAACUUGAAUGAGAGAUUUGGAGAACAACUGUCCCAGAAUAUCCUGAAGUGGAGUAAUCAGGCUUUUCUGGGAGACAAACAUACAUCGGAGUUGCAACCAGCAGGGAGGAGAUUUGGAUGUAAGUUUCUCACAUCACAAUUUAGUUCUGCCAUCUCCAGUCCAACUCUUCUCUCCAGUCCUCCUCAGCAGCGCCCAGUUACAAGGCCUGAAGUGAAUGAGUAGCCCCAGGAAGUGCAGGAUGGGCAAGAGGAGCUCUCCCUGCUCAGCUCAGUUAAAAAGAUUGCACAGGGGCAGAAGUUAUGAA